ensembl:lncRNA
AGUGGAUGUCGUUAGCUUCAAAAAAAAAAACCAAACCUCACAGUGCUGUCUCCUAUUAUGCUUCCUCUAAGCACUGUAUAUUUGCAAUUGCUUUAUAACUUAAAAAUGGUGACAUUCAUAGAAUCAUAGAAUGGCUUGGAUUGGAAAGACCUCAAGGAUCAUCAAGUUCCAGCCCCCUCGCCACAGGCAGGGCUGCCAACAUCUUUAGUACUCCUUAAUACCAGACCAGGCUGCCCAGGGCCCCAUCCAACCUGGCCUUGAACACCUCCAAGGACGGGGCAUCCACACCCUCUCUGUGCAGCCCGUUCAGCACCUCACCACUCUUAUAGUAAAGGACUUCCCCCUAACAUCCAACCUAAAUCUUCCCUCCCUCAACUUGUAACCAUUUCCCCUUAUCCUGCUAUUAUCUGCCCUUUCAAAGAGUUGGCUCCCCUCCUGCUUGUAGGCUGCCUUUAGGUACUGGUAUUUUCCUGUCUGAAUUUGAAGAAAAAAAGAGCAUAAAACUCUAUGAGAGCUAGUUUUCUCCACUUUUAUCUGCAUACAGAAGAGCUUUCUGUGGCUUGUCUGAAGAUAACGGUGAACCAUGAUUCCUAAAACUGAGAUGCCAAUGUAACAUUGGGCUUUUUGAUCUCACAAAAAGGAAAAAUGGAAAGUGAGAGCAUGUAUUUUUUAUUUUUUUUUAAUAAUUUGCAUUUUGAACUAUUGGUCAUGACACAUUUGACUUUGCUGGGGCAUAGAGAACUAUCAGAAGAAUAGUCUACCCCCUUCCAACCUGAGCAGCCCAGACUGCAGUUAUACCCAAGGUGCUUCUGGGAAGAGAAGUGCGGUUCUCCUUCCACAGAUGGGAGACUCAGACACCGAAACACCAAGCGCCUUGUUUGCUGGAGGCCUUGCAAGGGAGACCUGGCUGUGGGCAGGAAGGCAGCAGUUUUGUAUGGGCUGCAGGUGGCUUUGCCCAUUUUUGUCUCUGUUACAGCGGUAUUAAGUCUGGCAAUUAGUUGCAUGGAGUUAAAAGGUAGAAAAAUUGCAUAAGAUAAGAUACUAGGUUCUGAGUGUUCUGACUUGAAUUUUUGAUGGUCCAAUUAUAAAUAGGCUACAUACAGUUCCUGUUCGAAGUGUUGAUCUAUCUCCUGCAUCUUAGAAGAGGAAACAAGUCCUGAAGAAUCUGCAGUUUUCAGCUGCUUCUUCCUAUGUAAGGUUUGAGCUCUGCGUCCUUGGCAUUUGCAAAACACUACUGCAUCCAGCCUGCCAGGGCACAGCACCUUUCAGCUCUGAAACCUGAGCUAAGUUUUGGCAACUGACUUGUAAAGCUACAUUUCAGGAGCACAAUGAUAAAGUCAUUGGGCUGUGGACAGAUCGUGAUAUAGGAUCUAGGAACAUUGGAGGCAACCAGCAAAAGAUGAACUUAAAGCAGAAAAUAAAGUACUUGCUUACACAGUGAGUAGUAACUCUCUGGGCUUACUGUCACAGGAUUUUGUGGAAAUGCUCUUAUAGCCCUCAUCCAACUGCUGUGGAUGCUGAGUGCUAAGGGAAAGGGCUGCAGAUAACAACCCGCCUCAUAGUUCCUCCUAGACGGGUGUCCUCUUGCCACCAUCAGAAACGAAGCAGUGGGUGAGAU